ensembl:lncRNA
UACUAAGUGUAAAAUAGAAGAAGGUGAAGCUGAAUUUUAAAGUGGAUUGGAUUGGUGACUGCAGCUUUGUCAGCAGCCGUGACUCCAUGUCCCAGGAUGCAGGGCAACCCAUCUGGGGAAGACCCAAGGAGGCAGAGGAUGCCCUUCUAUGCAAACUACGGUGGCAGGACCAGCCUUCCACCUCCCUGGAGGUGAUCUGUGCUCUGGAUGUGCUGACUUGGAGAAGCAGUGGAUACCAGCAGCCUGCUUUUGCAUUCUUCUUCAGAUGUGGGGAACUUCAGCCCAAACUGCCCAGGGCCCACCAAAGGGUGUGACAUCGCCUCCUGGUAGGCAGGACCAGAGGGCUUUGCUUCCCAGCCACACCCAGGUCCAGGGAUGGGUGCUCUGUCUCCUACUCCAUCCUUCAGGGCAGAAGUGAUGGGCUAUUCAUACUGUUACCUGAGGCCGGACCAAUGUGGAAAGACUUCUCCAUUCCAUAAGUGGCCAAAAACAAGCAAGCAAAAUUUCCAGAGUUUUCUCACAGAACUUUAGUGAAAAUUUUUAAAAUUCAUAUUUUAUUAUAUAUGUAAUAAUGGAUAUAGUUAUGUAACUAUUCCUUUAUUUUAUGGAUUUAGUAUGUAUAUAAUUUCAAUAAAUUGUAGACAGACAUAGAUAUUGUCUUCUAGGAAGUUUGCUCAUAGAUCCUGAUAUUGCCAUGUAUUGCCAAAUCUCGUUUCCCAUGGGAAGGGAAAAAGAUUGUUUGUUACAGGUAAGGAUUGGCUACAGAGAUGUUCUUAUUUUUAUAAAUUUGGAAUUUGUUCUACAGCCCCCAAGAGUAGAGACAGAAGUGAGCCAGGGCCAAUGGAACUGGAGAAAACAGGUUAGAUUCAAGUGUCAGUUUGUGGAUUGCACUCAGAACAUGGUAUUUAGCUAGAUGUGGGACAUCUAACAACAAUCCCAAAGCAUCUACAGAACAACCUCUCUGCAACUCACUGGAGGCAACUCCUGGUCUGGCCCAGCCCACCUUCCAGCCUCCUGCCCCCACCCGCCCACUAUGCAGUCCGUGUUUACUGGCACCACACACCCUCAUGUUUCAUGAGUUUACACACUUGUCACCCUUCCCCAUGACUCUCCAUCUGGUGAAAUCCUAGCCAUGCCUAAGCCCCAGCCCCAAAGCCGCCUUUUCUGCUAAGCCCUCAUCCACUCCCCCUGCCCACUUCCUGCAAACUAACUAAAUAACUGGCCCCUGCUUCUGGGCCUCAUAGGACUGUGUUCACUGUGUAAAGCUCCACAGAGGGUCAGUCACCCCCGUCUUUCACACUGCACUGCAAGCUCCUCCAAGAAGGAGCUUGGCUUAAUUCCUUUUAUUUCCCAAGUUUCUAGCACAAUAUUGGCACAUAAUAGGAAAUAGUAUUUCUUAAAUAAAGAAAAGGAGAGAGGGAAAGGAAUUCCAGUCAAAGGCCUUUCUAAUAAGAAUCCUGUGAAAAUCUCAAAGGAGUCUGACUAUGGCCAUGGCGUUGGGAAUGGAAAUUCAAAAUUAUGAACAGAUUAGACUGGACCAGUGAUCAAAUAUAAGGAAUGAGAGAGAAGGACCGGAAGAUGAUUUGACCAAGUUUCCUGGCCUAAGAGACAGAGAAUGUAAACCAGUUAUUGAUUGAAAACACAGGAAGAGUAAGAAUGGGGCAGAGGUGAAUUUUCUUUCCAACUCUUCACUUGAUACCGAGAGGGACAUUCAGUGAUAGAUGCUUCACAGAUAAUUGUGUAUUCAGAGCUGACACCUUAGGAAGGGAUCAGAGCUUAUAGCGCAACAGCAGAGGAAACUAUGGUAUGGAUCCCAUGUUAGAGAAAAGGACCAAUGAUUGGAUUUGGGGUUCUGCCUUUAAGAAAUGAGAAAAAGAAGAGAUGGCAAUAAAGGAAUCUGGAGAAAGCCAGAUGAAGCCAUAUAAGAAAACAGUGUCACAGGAGCCAGUGGAAGAAGAGCCAUUCGAAGAGAGCAGGAGGCCAGGGCUACAGGAUGUUGACAAUGAGCCGGAGGAGGAGGAUGCAGUCACUCAAGGUAACCCCAGAGAUGCAGCCUCACCAGAUGGGAUGUAGAUGGAGCUGGUAGAGGGAGAAAGUGAAAACAGUGAGUGUGACCUUCUCUUAGAAAUGUUAGUCAUAACAGGGAUGAGGGAUAUUUCCACUCAUUCUGUAAAUUAUUUCUAAUUGUGACUACAUUGUCUUUUAAUCGAAUGUUGGCUUAAUCAAGUUUCAUUAAAGCUUUAACUGCCCACAGCU